rnacentral:rRNA from 1 species
AGCCAGACUCCUACGGGAGGCAGCAGUGGGGAAUAUUGCACAAUGGGGGGAACCCUGAUGCAGCGACGCCGCGUGAGUGAAGAAGUAUUUCGGUAUGUAAAGCUCUGUCAGCAGGGAAGAAGAAAGACGGUACCUGACCAAGAAGCCCCGGCUAACUACGUGCCAGCAGCCGCGGUAAUACGUAGGGGGCAAGCGUUAUCCGGAUUUACUGGGUGUAAAGGGAGCGUAGACGGCAGUGCAAGUCUGGAGUGAAAGGCGGGGGCUCAACCCCCGGACUGCUCUGGAAACUGUACGGCUGGAGUGCAGGAGAGGUAAGUGGAAUUCCUAGUGUAGCGGUGAAAUGCGUAGAUAUUAGGAGGAACACCAGUGGCGAAGGCGGCUUGCUGGGCUUUUACUGACGCUGAGGCUCGAAAGUGUGGGGAGCAAACAGGAUUAGAUACCCUGGUAAGA